AGCAAUUUCUCCCUUCAUUGGAUAUCAAGCUCAAGAUGGUACAGCAAAAAGAAAUAGCUUUUACCGCUGAUAUGAGAAAUUUAAGAGAGAGACAAGUGUGAGCAAACAAAAGCUGUCACAUCAAAUACUGUGGGGGGAAAAAAUCUAGAAAAAAAUGCCAGAAAUGCUCAAGUCUAAAUAAAGUCAUUUAUUUGUUAUUUUAACCCCUUCACCGUCAGCGUUGCUGGCAGGCUAGUUAAUUCUCCGCAGGUGGGACUGACUGAAGGCAGCUCUCUUGUGCUUAUAAAAAAAAAUCACUGUAUUGUGGCAUGUUUCUCUUCGCUCUCUGAAAUCGUGAGGGGUUUCCAAACAGAAACAGGAUGGUACUGUUGCUCCUCUUGGGUAUCAUUUCUUCAGAGAAUUCAAUCUCCUCCCGUUUCCACCACAUUAAGCAAAGAAUCUAGACCACGAGGUCUCAAAGGGCAGCAGCCACACGUGCUGUACGCUUCUGGUAGACGGUAGGUAUUUGGUAGAAUGUGGUGGCAAUUAUUUCUCAAAUUUUGUAUUCUAAAUGUGCAACUCAAAUACAAGAUGCUUUCUGUAUGGGGGGGGGGGGGACUCUAUGAAGUCCCCCCAACCCAGAAGGAAAAGUGGAGAAAACGCAGACUGGAUAGACGUGGGGUUCACCCCUUGCUCCUUUUUGGCCACGUUCAUAAGCCUGUAUCCUCAGUCAAGAUUAAGGGCUUUCAUUAAAAUUGAGAAAGAUAAAGUUGGAAGAAUACUGCUACUGAAACUCUGCAAACAGAGACUAUUUCCAAUUAACUAGGGACUCCCUUUGUGCACUACAGUGGACCCAGGGAGGAGUAAGUCAUAGCUGCCGUCCUCAAAAAAUCUACCCCACUUGAAAAAGAAAAAUAUAUAUAUAAAGUUAUAUUUAAAACAAUGUAAAAUAAAAUUAAGAUAUUCACAUUUAAAAAUCUACCUUCCUCCACAUCCCACUCACUCCCUUGCCCAACAUGGUAAAGUUUCUGUCUCCAGUAAAUUCCUUUGGCACUGGUUUCCAGGCCCCCCAACAGAGAGACACAGACCCAGCUCCUACCAUGGCCAGACCUAGCCCCUCAGCGCAGCACACAAAACCCCCCAAAGUCACCAGGUCCCCCCACCUGCAGCCCUGCCCCAAGGCCUCCCCUGCACCAAACACCAUCCUGGUUUCCCACUCUUGCAGCCCACGCCCACCGCACAGUCCAGGGCUCACCCGUCUCCUGACCAGGCGUGCCCGUACUAGUCCAGCCCCUGGUGGUUUCCGCAUCUGACCGCCCUGCUAGUGACAUCGACACCUUGCAGGCAGGAACCCAGCUACUUUGCCUCAGAAGCCCCGGGGCCUCAUACUGGGCGUCAGGCAGGGCAGAUCCUCAAAAUGGGGCUAGUGAGUGAUGCUUCAUCUAUCCAUCAAAGGCGUUUAACACGUGAUGUUAGCUUUCAAGGGGCUUUCCCGGUGGCUCUGCAGUAAAGAAUGUGCCUGCAGUGAAAGAGAGGGCGGGUUCGAUCCCUGGGUCAGGAAGAUCUCCUGGACGAGGGCCUGGCAACCCACUCCAGAAUUCUUGCCUGGAGAAUUCCGUGGACAGAGGAGCCUGGUGGGCGAGAGUCCAUGGGGUCACAACUGGAGUCCAAGAGUCAGACACGACUGAGCGACUGGAGCAUGCAAGCACAGGAGCUUUCAAAGUGAACCUGGAUAAAUGUAGUGCUACUGACGCUUUUGAACUGCGGUGUUGGAGAAGACUCUUUUGAACUGUGGUGUUGGAGAAGACUCUUUUGAACUGUGGUGUUGGUGAGUCUCUUGGACUGCAAGGAGAUCAAACUAGCCUAUCCUAAAGGAUAUCAGUCCUGUAUAUUCAUUGGAAGGACUGAUGUUGAAGCUGAAACUCCAAUACUUUAGCCACCUGAUGCGAAGAACUGACUCACUUGAAAAGACCCUAAUGCUGGGAAAGACUGAAGGUGGGAGGUGAAGGGGAGGACAAAGGAUGAGAUGGUUGGAUGGCAUCACUGACUCGAUGGACACGUGUUUGAGUAAGCUCCAGGAGUUGGUGAUGGACAGGGAAGCCUGGCGUGCUGCAGCCCAUGGGGUCACAAAGAGUCUGACACAACUGAGAGACUGAACUGAACUGAUGAUUUUGAAACUUAUUCACAAACAUGAAGAGGGCACAGUGCCCCUAGGGGCUCCCCCCCCACCAAGAAAAAGACAGACUCCUUGGGCCCAUGUGACCAUUUCUCCAUACUCCCAACCCACCCCACCCCCCACCUCCAUC
ensembl:lncRNA